AACGAACGCUGGCGGCAUGCCUAACACAUGCCAGUCGAACGAGACCUUCGGGUCUAGUGGCGCACGGGUGCGUAACGCGUGGGAACCUGCCCUUAGGUUCGGAAUAACUCCCCGAAAGGGGUGCUAAUACCGGAUAAUGUCUUCGGACCAAAGAUGUAUCGCCUUUGGAUGGGCCCGCGUUGGAUUAGCUAGUUGGUAGGGUAAAAGCCUACCAAGGCGAGGAUGCAUAGCUGGUCUGAGAGGAUGAUCAGCCACGCUGGCGAUGAGACACGGCCCAGAAUCCGACGGAAGGCAGGAGUGGGGAAUAUUGGACAAGGGGCGAAGACGUGAUAAAGCCAUGCGGGGUAAGUGAUGAAGGCCUUAGGGUUGUAAAGCUGUUUUACCCGGGAUGAUAAUGACAGUACCGGGAGAAUAAGCACCGGCUAACUACGUG
rnacentral:rRNA from 1 species